GAUGAACGCUAGCUACAGGCUUAACACAUGCAAGUCGAGGGACCGGCGCACGGGUGAGUAACACGUAUCCAACCUGCCCUUUACUCGGGGAUAGCCUUUCGAAAGACAGAUUAAUACCCGAUAUAAAGGAUGGGGAUGCGUUCGAUUAGGUUGUUGGUGAGGUAACGGCUCACCAAGCCUUCGAUGGAUAGGGGUUCUGAGGGGAAGGUACCCCACAAUUGAACUGAGACACGGACCAAACUCGUAGGGGAGGCAGGAGUGAGGAAUAUUGGGCAAGAGGCGCUAGCCGGAACCAGCCAAGUAGCGUGAAGGAUGAAGGGUUAUGGGUCGUAAACUUCUGUUAUAUAAGAAUAUGUAUUAUAUGAAUAAGGAUCGGCUAACUCCGUGCCAGCAGCCGCGGUAAUUC
rnacentral:rRNA from 1 species